rnacentral:rRNA from 1 species
AACGAACGCUGGCGGCAUGCCUAACACAUGCAAGUCGAACGAGACCUCCGUGUCUACUGGCGCUCGGGUGCGGAAAGCGUGGGAACCGGCCCGUAUGUUCCGGAUAACACUCUUAAGUGGGUGCUAAUACCGGGUAAUGUCUUCGGAUAAAAGAUUGGUCGCCUUUGGAUGGGCCGGCGUUGGCUUAGCUUGUUGGUAGGGUAAGAGCCUACCAAGGAGACGAUCCAUAGCUGGGCUGAGAGGAUGAUCAGCCACACUUGGACUGCGACACGGCCCAGAAUCCUACGGGAGGGAGCAGUGGGGAAUAUAGGAGAAUGGGCGAAAGCCUGAUGCCGCAAUGCCGGGUAAGUGGUGAAGGCGUUAGGGAAGUAAAGCUCUUUUACACGCGGCGAUAAUGACGGUACCGGGAGAAUAAGCACCGGCUAACUCCGUG